CCUACGGGUGGCAGCAGUGAGGAAUAUUGGUCAAUGGCCGCAAGGCUGAACCAGCCAAGCAGCGUGAAGGACGAAUGUGCCAAGCAUUGUAAACUUCUUUUGUCAAGGGACAAAAUCAGGCUCGAGAGCCUGACCGAGUGUACUUUAAGAAAAAGCAUCGGCUAACUCCGUGCCAGCAGCCGCGGUAAUACGGAGGAUGCGAGCGUUAUCCGGAUUUAUUGGGUUUAAAGGGUGCGUAGGGGGACUGUUAAGUCAGCGGUAAAAGCCGGGGGCUCAACCCCGGCGAGCCGUUGAAACUGGCAGUCUUGAGAUGUCGAGAGGUAGGCGGAAUGCGUGGUGUAGCGGUGAAAUGCUUAGAUAUUGCGAAGAACUCCGAUUGCGAAGGCAGCAUACCGGAGGGGAUCUGACGUUGAGGCACGAAAGCGUGGGUAUCGAACAGGAUUAGAUACCCUUGUAGUC
rnacentral:rRNA from 1 species